rnacentral:rRNA from 1 species
AAAAAAUAUUCAUAGCGGAGGAAAAGAAACCAACAGGGAUUGCCCUAGUAACGGCGAGUGAAGCGGCAACAGCUCAAAUUUGAAAUCUGGCCUUCGGGUCCGAAUUGUAAUUUGUAGAGGAUGCUUUGGGUGCGGUACCUUCCGAGUUCCCUGGAACGGGACGCCGGAGAGGGUGAGAGCCCCGUACGGUUGGAUACCAAGCCUAUGUAUAGCUCCUUCGACGAGUCGAGUAGUUUGGGAAUGCUGCUCUAAAUGGGAGGUAAAUUUCUUCUAAAGCUAAAUACCGGCCAGAGACCGAUAGCGCACAAGUAGAGUGAUCGAAAGAUGAAAAGCACUUUGAAAAGAGGGUUAAAUAGCACGUGAAAUUGUUGAAAGGGAAGCGUUUGCGACCAGACCUUUUCCAGGCGGAUCAUCCGGUGUUCUCACCGGUGCACUUCGCCUGGUUUAGGCCAGCAUCGGUUUUCUUAGGGGGAUAAAGGUUUAGGGCACGUAGCUCCUUCGGGAGUGUUAUAGCCCUCUACGUAAUACCCUUCGGGGGACCGAGGACCGCGCAUUGCAAGGAUGCUGGCGUAAUGGUCGUCAACGACCCGUCUUGAAACACGGACCAAGGAGUCGAACAUUUGUGCGAGUGUUUGGGUGUUAAACCCUCACGCGUAAUGAAAGUGAACGGAGGUGAGAGCCCUUCGGGGUGCAUCAUCGACCGAUCCUGAUGUCUUCGGAUGGAUUUGAGUAAGAGCAUAACUGUUCGGACCCGAAAGAUGGUGAACUAUGCGUGGAUAGGGUGAAGCCAGAGGAAACUCUGGUGGAGGCUCGCAGCGGUUCUGACGUGCAAAUCGAUCGUCAAAUCUGCGCAUGGGGGCGAAAGACUUAUCGAACCAUCUAGUACUGUACGCAAAAAUUNC